rnacentral:rRNA from 1 species
GGUAAUGCCGGAUGCUCCAUCACACUGCAUGGUGUGUUGGGAAAGCCUUUGCGGCAUGGGAUGGGGUCGCGUCCUAUCAGCUUGAUGGCGGGGUAACGGCCCACCAUGGCUUCGACGGGUAGCCGGCCUGAGAGGGCGACCGGCCACAUUGGGACUGAGAUACGGCCCAGACUCCUACGGGAGGCAGCAGUGGGGAAUAUUGCACAAUGGGCGCAAGCCUGAUGCAGCGACGCCGCGUGAGGGAUGGAGGCCUUCGGGUUGUAAACCUCUUUUGUUAGGGAGCAAGGCAUUUUGUGUUGAGUGUACCUUUCGAAUAAGCACCGGCUAACUACGUGCCAGCAGCCGCGGUAAUACGUAGGGUGCAAGCGUUAUCCGGAAUUAUUGGGCGUAAAGGGCUCGUAGGCGGUUCGUCGCGUCCGGUGUGAAAGUCCAUCGCUUAACGGUGGAUCCGCGCCGGGUACGGGCGGGCUUGAGUGCGGUAGGGGAGACUGGAAUUCCCGGUGUAACGGUGGAAUGUGUAGAUUCGAAGAAGAAA